UUGAUGUUUGCAUUUUGCUUCACCCCAUCAUACUAUUUUCAUAAUUAUGUGUAUAUGUGAAUGUGUGCUUUUCUCUCCAUGUGUCUGUCUCCUUGACACGCGAGAGUUAUGGCUUGAAUCAUAGGAACAAUUAUGCGACUUAAUUUGUUAUCGAAACUCAGUGUUGGAGUUGGCAUUUGUCUAUCUAAAUAAAUAACUCUUCCUUUGUGUAAGAUACUUUGCCGGCCUUUAUGCAACUAUGGGAUGUUCUGCCUAUAUACCUUAAUGCUUCAUUUUGUUAUUAGCUAAAAGAAUGGGCAGAUGCUUCUAGUUGUGAGACAAAGAAAAUGUUCACUUCCAGAUCUUGAAGAUAAUUAGUAAAGCAGGAAGAACAAAGGUCUUUUAAUCUUUUGUAACAUUGUUUUUUUUUGGGGGGGUUGUAGAGACUCAAAAGUCUGCAGAUUGAGGAAAAAUUACAUCUACGUGUCAUAAGAAUGUUUUAAUCUAUGCGGACAUACUUGCUACAUUAGACUCAGGAUCAUCCUUGCUCGUCAUCUCUGUGAUAGGUGGAAAUGAAGUGCUAUCAAACACAAAGGAUGUUGAGCCGCCCCUUUCCUCUUUAUACUCACUUUUAUGAGUUUUCUUAAGCAAUUUUCAUUAUAAGAAUCCUACCUCCAUAGCAUCAAUUGAACCUCUGUAUGGAAACUUAACUUGGAAAGUUCUUGUCUUGAGACGAAAAGAAGUAUGAUGUAUGGUGCAGACAUGAUGUUGCCUUUGUUUGGCAAGAAGUAAUUGGUUUAGUUGAAAAUAAUAAUAGCCCAGUACAUGGAAACAAUGCAAAAGAAAGAGGAGCACUAGAAAAAGUUAAUACAUUCUUAGAUUGAAACACACCAAAUGGAAGUCAAAUUUCUCUAAACUGAGAAUUAGGAAUCGAAGAUUGAUGAGUUCAUUUUUGGAGGCAAACUUGUGAACUGUUUCUUGAGCUUCAUUCGUUUUCCGCCAUCUCAAGCAUAUUUGAGAAAAUAUUAGUCUCUCUGUUGUUGCCCAAAUGGACCUGUUCAUCGAAGGAUAAUUACUCCAAAUCUGUUGGUGCUGAGCUAUCUCUGCUGCAAAGUAAUGUAAUUAUGGUUAACUGGGGACAUUUUAGCAAGUUAUGUCGAAUUUGUGAGGCGUGCAAAUUCUGGUACGUAUGUAGUCAGUGGUCCUUCUGAUCCGUCUAUCAUCUCAUUCUCUCAGUUGAACGUUUGAUCACGGAGCUGUACAUCUCUCAAUGCUUGCUGGCUCUUCAAUUGAUUCAAUCUUUGAAGAAAGCCAUUUACUUACCAAAGCAGCCUCAAUACUGCUGCUUCGCACAUCAGUAUAUCAUGUGCGGUUCUUUCCUCCUUCAUAUUAUUCCUUAAUCUUUUUGGAGAUUUUGCUUAGCUAUUGUAGGAUUCUUCAUCUUACAUUGAUGAAGACAAAGGUGGUGAUAGCUUUGAUCUGCUGAGAGUUUAAUCCUCUGUGGAUUAAUAUAGAACUAUAUUUGUAAGUUGGCCAGCAUAAAAAUGAGGGCAUCAUGGAGCCAUGUCAAUCUAAAAGUAUAUCUAAUAAUUUAUUUGGUUCUUGAAGCAGUGGAAAGUAAGCACUCUUAAUGCUGAUUAACUCUUGCAGAUGAAGAAGUGUACUGAUGCCUAAUGCCUAUUCAUUAUUGUGAUCUUUUGGGGAAAUCUAGUACGUUUGUUUUGACGAUAUGAUAGUCAUAGCUAAUAUUAUGUUUGAAAAUAAU